rnacentral:rRNA from 1 species
UGUGCCAGCAGCCGCGGUAAUACGUAGGGUGCGAGCGUUGUCCGGAAUUACUGGGCGUAAAGGGCUCGUAGGUGGUUUGUCGCGUCGUCUGUGAAAUUCCGGGGCUUAACUCCGGGCGUGCAGGCGAUACGGGCAUAACUUGAGUACUGUAGGGGUAACUGGAAUUCCUGGUGUAGCGGUGAAAUGCGCAGAUAUCAGGAGGAACACCGAUGGCGAAGGCAGGUUACUGGGCAGUUACUGACGCUGAGGAGCGAAAGCAUGGGUAGCGAACAGGAUUAGAUACC